rnacentral:rRNA from 1 species
AGAAUCAACGCUGGCGGCGUGCCUAACACAUGCAAGUCGAACGAGAAAGUGGAGCAAUCCAUGAGUAAAGUGGCGACCGGGUGAGUAACACGUGACUAACCUACCUUCGAGUGGGGGAUAACCUAGGGAAACCUGGGCUAAUACCGCAUAACAUCUUUGGAUCGGAAGAACUGAAGAUCAAAGGAGCAAUUCGCUUGAAGAGGGGGUCGCGGCUGAUUAGCUAGUUGGCGGGGUAAUGGCCACCAAGGCUUUGAUCGGUA